UUCCUAUGGCAUCCCCACAAUUACGGAUAAAUGUUUCGGCUUUUACUAUAGAUUUCCGUUUUGGGGUGCAAUACAAUGAGUUUAUAUAGACAUUUUUGCAGCGCCUCAUUUUCUGGGCGG
rnacentral:snRNA from 1 species